rnacentral:rRNA from 1 species
UACGUAGGGUGCAAGCGUUGUCCGGAUUUAUUGGGCGUAAAGAGCUCGUAGGCGGUCUGUCGCGUCGGAUGUGAAAACCCAGGGCUCAACCCCGGGCCUGCAGUCGAUACGGGCAGACUAGAGUGCGGUAGGGGAGACUGGAAUUCCUGGUGUAGCGGUGAAAUGCGCAGAUAUCAGGAGGAACACCGGUGGCGAAGGCGGGUCUCUGGGCCGUAACUGACGCUGAGGAGCGAAAGCGUGGGGAGCGAACAGG